CUUGUACUCCCUCCGUCCGAAAUACUUGUCAUUGAAAUGGAUGUAUCUAGAUGUAUUUUAGUUCUAGACACAUCCAUUUUGAUGACAAGUAAUUCCGGACGGAGGGAGUACUUG
rfam:Triticum aestivum genome assembly, contig: Triticum_aestivum_CS42_TGACv1_scaffold_067214_1DL